rnacentral:lncRNA from 1 species
CGAUUAUGCAAAUUUUCUGUCCAAAUUUUUUUUCACUUUUUUUUUAGAGUGAGAGUCAUCUCAAUAUGAGACAUAAUCUCUUAUAGAAUGAAUGGCUGACACAUGGAUUAACUGACCAUUGCAUGGCUUUGAACAGCCCUGAACAGACAUAGGCAUAUUCAUACAGACACUAAUCCACAUGUGCAGAGGCAGCUGAUUUGAUGUUGUUGGCAGUCACAAGAUUAGACUUUGGCUCAGCACCAGGAAGAGAUCCAAACUAGCGCUGGUAACAGAAGAGGCCGUGUCAGAGUGUAUCAUGUCAUCACAGUGCUAACACUGGGAGUGAAGAGAUAAGGUGGUUUGAAAACU